rnacentral:rRNA from 1 species
AGUGAACGCUGGCGGUAGGCCUAACACAUGCAAGUCGAACGGCAGCACAGUAAGAUCUUGCUCUUACGGGUGGCGAGUGGCAGACGGGUGAGGAAUACAUCGGAAUCUACUUUUUCGUGGGGGAUAACGUAGGGAAACUUACGCUAAUACCGCAUACGACCUACGGGUGAAAGCAGGGGAUCUUCGGACCUUGCGCGAUUGAAUGAGCCGAUGUCGGAUUAGCUAGUUGGCGGGGUAAAGGCCCACCAAGGCGACGAUCCGUAGCUGGUCUGAGAGGAUGAUCAGCGACACUGGAACUGAGACACGGUCAAGAGUCCUAAGGGAGGCAGCAGUGGGGAAUAUUGGACAAUGGGCGCAAGCAUGAUCCAGCCAUACCGCGUGGGUGAAGAAGGCCUUCGGGUUGUAAAGCCCUUUUGUUGGGAAAGAAAAGCAGCAGGUUAAUACCCCGCUGUUCUGACGGUACCCAAAGAAUAAGCACCGGCUAACUUCGUG